CAGUAGCCGCGGGAAUACGUAGGGUCCGAGCGUUGUCCGGAAUUAUUGGGUUUAAAGGGUGCGUAGGCGGAUAGAUAAGUCAGUGGUGAAAGACGGUGGCUCAACCAUCGCAGUGCCGUUGAUACUGUUUAUCUUGAAUAUGGAUGAGGUAGGCGGAAUGUGGCAAGUAGCGGUGAAAUGCAUAGAUAUGCCACAGAACACCGAUUGCGAAGGCAGCUUACCAAGGCAAAAUUGACGCUGAGGCACGAAAGCGUGGGGAGCAAACAGGAUUAGAUACCCGUGUAGUCCCUGUCUCUUAUAC
rnacentral:rRNA from 1 species